UACAGGGGGUGCAAACGUUGCUCGGAAUCGUUGGGCGUAAAGCGCACGUAGGCGGUUCGUUAUGUCGGAUGUGAAAGCCCUUGGCUUAACCGAGGAAGUGCAUCCGAAACUGGCGAGCUAGAGUACGAAAGAGGAUCGCGGAAUUCCCGGUGUAGAGGUGAAAUUCGUAGAUAUCGGGAGGAACACCGGUGGCGAAGGCGGCGAUCUGGGUCGAUACUGACGCUGAGGUGCGGAAGCGUGGGGAGCAAACAGG
rnacentral:rRNA from 1 species